rnacentral:rRNA from 1 species
UACGUAGGGUGCAAGCGUUGUCCGGAAUUAUUGGGCGUAAAGAGCUCGUAGGCGGUCUGUCACGUCGGCUGUGAAAUCCCGAGGCUCAACCUCGGGUCUGCAGUCGAUACGGGCAAACUAGAGUAUUGCAGGGGAGACUGGAAUUCCUGGUGUAGCGGUGAAAUGCGCAGAUAUCAGGAGGAACACCCGUGGCGAAGGCGGCUCUCUGGGACGGUACUGACGCUGAGACGCGAAAGCGUGGGGAGCGAACAGG